UGUAGCUCAGAGGUGGAGCGUCUGACAGGUGUUCGGAAGUUCAAAGGUUCGAUUCCUGUUGGGAGAA